UGAACGCUGGCGGCGUGCCUAACACAUGCAAGUUGAACGAAGCAAUCAAGACAGAAGUCCUUCGGGAGGAAGAUUUGAUUGACUGAGUGGCGGACGGGUGAGUAACGCGUGGGUAACCUGCCUUGUACAGGGGGAUAACAGUUAGAAAUGACUGCUAAUACCGCAUAAGCGCACAGUACUGCAUGGUACAGUGUGAAAAACUCCGGUGGUACAAGAUGGACCCGCGUCUGAUUAGCCAGUUGGCAGGGUGACGGCCUACCAAAGCAACGAUCAGUAGCCGACUUGAGAGAGUGAUCGGCCACAUUGGGACUGAGACACGGCCCAGACUCCUACGGGAGGCAGCAGUGGGGAUAUUGCACAAUGGAGGAAACUCUGAUGCAGCAACGCCGCGUGAGUGAUGAAGUGGUUCGCUACGUAAAGCUCUAUCAGUAGGGAAGAUAAUGACGGUACCUACACAAGAAGCUCCGGCUAAAUACGUGCC
rnacentral:rRNA from 1 species